GGAUCUAUUGUUGACAGAAGACAGGGAGCACCAGCAGCCACCAGCUCUAGAGAGGCUUUUGGGUGCUUGUGCUCUCUAUUCUUCUGCCAUCAAUCCGACUCGG
rnacentral:pre_miRNA from 1 species